GAUGAACGCUGGCGGCGUGCCUAAUACAUGCAAGUCGAGCGAACAGAUGAGGAGCUUGCUCCUCUGACGUUAGCGGCGGACGGGUGAGUAACACGUGGAUAACCUACCUAUAAGACUGGGAUAACUUCGGGAAACCGGAGCUAAUACCGGAUAAUAUAUUGAACCGCAUGGUUCAAUAGUGAAAGACGGUUUUGCUGUCACUUAUAGAUGGAUCCGCGCCGCAUUAGCUAGUUGGUAAGGUAACGGCUUACCAAGGCAACGAUGCGUAGCCGACCUGAGAGGGUGAUCGGCCACACUGGAACUGAGACACGGUCCAGACUCCCACGGGAGGCAGCAGUAGGGAAUCUUCCGCAAUGGGCGAAAGCUUGACGGAGCAACGCCGCGUGAGUGAUGAAGGUCUUCGGAUCGUAAAACUCUGUUAUUAGGGAAGAACAAAUGUGUAAGUAACUAUGCACGUCUUGACGGUACCUAAUCAGAAAGCCACGGCUAACUACGUG
rnacentral:rRNA from 1 species